GUUGGUGCUGACGACGGUGAGGGUCCACCCGUUCCCAUCCCGAACACGGAAGUUAAGCUCACUUGUGCCGAAAAUACUUGGCUGGAGACGGCCCGGGAAAACAGGUAAACGCCAACA
rnacentral:rRNA from 1 species